GUGAGCCGGAGAGGGUGAAGCAGGCAGGAAGCUGCAGGCCGGCGGUGGAUGGGGCCAGGAAGCAUGCAGGGGGAGUGAGGACCGUGUAUGAGAGAAACACUGCCCAAGAGAGAAGAAAGAAAAUCACAGGACCCGAGGAAAAAGAAUGAGUGGUGUGUUCAGAGAUGACACAUGACAACAAAUUGUUUGCUUGGAGGAUUUUCUUACGCGUGCGUGUUUAAACUGGCCUCAAGGAGGAAGAAGAAACAUGCGUUCCUGGAUGACUGAGUUCUGGAAUAUUCUGUCAUAAGACUUUGCAACUGGAGUAGCCCCAGAAAAAGGCAGGCAGUGGGAGUUGGCUCCCUCCCCAAAGCCAUCCCUGAGUUGGCUUUGUUUUGGGUUCCUCCCAGGUGGAAUUUAGGCAAAACUUACAGUAUUGUUCUGGGAUCUGGGCAAGUUGUGUUGGGGAUGGACAUGGGUCUCAGAGAGAUGUGCGUUGGCGAGAAACGGACAGUGAUCAUUCCGCCUCACCUGGGCUAUGGGGAAGCUGGCGUGGAUGGAGAAGUGCCCGGCAGUGCCGUAUUAGUGUUUGACAUUGAGCUGCUGGAGCUGGUGGCUGGCCUUCCCGAGGGGUACAUGUUCAUAUGGAAUGGUGAGGUGUCACCCAACCUUUUUGAAGAAAUUGACAAGGAUGGCAACGGAGAAGUCCUCCUGGAAGAGUUCUCAGAGUACAUUCACGCCCAGGUGGCAUCUGGCAAAGGGAAACUCGCUCCUGGCUUUGAUGCUGAGCUGAUUGUGAAGAAUAUGUUCACCAACCAGGACCGGAAUGGAGAUGGGAAGGUCACAGCUGAGGAAUUUAAACUCAAAGACCAGGAAGCCAAACAGGAUGAACUCUAAACCUGGCACGAACCAGAUGGUGCCAGGGAGUACGUGACACCAAGCCAACUGUGUGGCAGAACGUGCAGUGAGGGUGCAAGGGUCUUUCAGAAGUUGCAUCAUUAGCCAGUAGUAGGUGGGUCACAUAGUACCUGGUGUACACAUCGGGGUGGGUUGAUAUAUGGGGUGAGAAGUUUAGGCUGAUCGCCAGUGAUAGUAAACAAAAUCUGUGCAGAGGGCCUUAGCAUGGGAUGUGUCCAGUAUUGAAAAGGCUGCACUGCCAACCAUGAUUUGUGAACCUUCUGGGAAAUUUUGUUAUUAAAAGAAUAUAUAGUGUCAGACGGAAGUUAUAAUCAUCUUGGAGGAACCAUAAGAAAAAGUGUCCAGGGUAUCUAUAUAAAGAGGGUUAAAUUUUUUUUUAACUUGCUGGUUAAAACAUUUUAGAAAUAUUCUUGAGAUGGGCAGGAGAGUCAAAGGGCUUGCUUGCCCCAGCAGAGUUCCCAGCAGACAGCCAUGGCUCUUCCCAGCAGCCUGUGCAAAUUCUGAUGAUGACCCCACCCCCGCACACGCACACGCACAUCAUGCUUUUCCAGCUCAUCACACCCCGCCCCACUAUGGGCCUACCAUUAAUAGUGUAUAUCUUGGAGGUUAAAAGAGCCUUUUGGACAGAAAACUGGGCCAGGAAAAGGCAUCUCAGACCACAAAUAGAGAAUUUGAUUCCUCAUUUGCCACAUAAGUCAUCUGCUUAGCUUUUCCUUUCUUUUUUUUUUUUUUUUUUUUUUGGAGGCAGAGUCUCCGUUUGUCGCCAGGCUGGAGUGCAGUGGUGCCAUCUCGGCUCACUGCAGCACUGUCUCGGCUCACUGCAGCCUCCGCCUCCCGUAUUCAAGCGAUUCUCCUGUCUCAGCCUCCUGAGUAGCUAGGACUACAGGUGUGCACCACCACGCCCCGCUAAUUUUUGUAUUUUUGGUAGAGACGGGGUUUCACCGUGUUGGCCAGGAUGGUCUCAAUCUCGACCUCGUGAUCCGCCCACCUCGGCCUCCCAAAGUGUUGGGAUUACAGGCAUGAAUCACCAUGCCUAGCCACUUAGUUUUUUGUCAUUCCCACCUUUCUAUCCCAUAGAACACUCUUUUUUAUCUUCCCUGAACCAUAUUGAUGAGAUAAAUAGGGCUGGGGGCUGGGCCCCGCUGGUCACUCAACAGAGUAUUUCCCUUGGCCGAGAUGGAAGUUUUGUCCCAAUAGAUGAGCUGCUGAGCAUCAACAAGGUGACAUUUUUCUGCUGCCCAUUUGUGUCCUGGAGACGGUGGUACCCUGAAGGCAGAGGCCAGCUGCUGCAAGACAGCAAUGACAGUCCACCUGCCGGCCUGAUUCCUGCAUCAUGGAAUAACCACAUGGCUACCUUCUAUCCUCUGUUCCCAAAUGGUGGUGGCACUUAUCCUGAAGUCAUCAAUGAUUUCCCUUUGAAACUACUUUAUUUUACUAAUUUAAACUAUUUUGUACUGAUGUAGCCCUGAGGUAGUUCAUGAAAAUGCUGUGCACUCAUUCCAUGGAAUAAAUGUUGGAAAGCUGAUCUUUUCUGAUAUAAAAUGUUGAAUUAUA
ensembl:lncRNA FKBP9P1 FKBP prolyl isomerase 9 pseudogene 1